AGUCGAGGGGUAUAGUUCUUCGGAACUAGAGACCGGCGCACGGGUGCGUAACGCGUAUGCAAUCUACCUUUUACAGAGGGAUAGCCCAGAGAAAUUUGGAUUAAUACCUCAUAGUAUAAUGACCUGGCAUCAGGAUAUUAUUAAAGUCACAACGGUAAAAGAUGAGCAUGCGUCCCAUUAGCUAGUUGGUAAGGUAACGGCUUACCAAGGCUACGAUGGGUAGGGGUCCUGAGAGGGAGAUCCCCCACACUGGUACUGAGACACGGACCAGACUCCUACGGGAGGCAGCAGUGAGGAAUAUUGGACAAUGGGCGCAAGCCUGAUCCAGCCAUGCCGCGUGCAGGAUGACGGUCCUAUGGAUUGUAAACUGCUUUUAUACGAGAAGAAACACUACUUCGUGAAGUAGCUUGACGGUAUCGUAAGAAUAAGGAUCGGCUAACUCCGUGCCAGCAGCCGCGGUAAUACGGAGGAUCCAAGCGUUAUCCGGAAUCAUUGGGUUUAAAGGGUCCGUAGGCGGUUUAGUAAGUCAGUGGUGAAAGCCCAUCGCUCAACGGUGGAACGGCCAUUGAUACUGCUGAACUUGAAUUAUUAGGAAGUAACUAGAAUAUGUAGUGUAGCGGUGAAAUGCUUAGAGAUUACAUGGAAUACCAAUUGCGAAGGCAGGUUACUACUAAUUGAUUGACGCUGAUGG
rnacentral:rRNA from 1 species